AUCUGUUGAAUGUCAAAGCUUAAAAAUAUCGAGGUUAAAUCCUUUAUCGUUUGGAGGUAUCUUUUUAUGUUCUCCUCUCGGGCCUCAUAGCCACCCUUAAUAUGGCCAACCACUAACUGAGAGUCACUGAAGAACUUCAGAUGUUAGGCCCCUACUUUCCUCACCAUUCUAAGGUUAGGAAGUAGGCUUCAUACUCCACCUCAUUAUUAGUGGCAGAAAAGUCAAAGCAUAAUGUGUAUCCCACCAUCUCUCCUUCAAAACUGGUUAGGAUGAGUCCAGCCCCUGCUCUUAUUGUACUUGACA
rnacentral:lncRNA from 1 species